UCAGUUUUGGGAAUCUGAAACAUCCCAUUGGAAAAUCGAUUUUAUGCCUUAGAAACAACCAAAACCACCUUCACCAAAAUCGAUUUGGGGAAGAGGAAGAAACAAGUCGUUUCACCUCUUCUUCCUCUCCAAAUCUCACCCACAUCAAAAACCCCUCACCACAACUUCUAUCAUUUCUUUUCACAAACCAAACCACCCUCACCAUCCAUCUUCAACCACAACCAUGAUGUGGGAACGUGAACACGAUGAACACCAUCACCACCACCACACCACCUCUUCAAAACCCGACCAAAUCCCUGACCCUAACUCCUAUCUCAACUUCGAUUUCUUCUCAACUCUCUCCAAACCUAAUGUUCUCCAUUGUUAACAUUCCUCUCACGACCAAACCAUCACGGUAACGCCAUUCCGUUACUGAACGGAACAAACUUCACUUUCCCUAACUAUUGCGGUUGCACAACAUGAAAUGGCGCAUUCACCGAAAUGAUGCCACCGUUAACUCUUUCCGUCUUCUCCUUUUUCAACACCGGUUCAAAACCUCUGACUCCAUCACCGGUUGCAUUCUUCUACUCUCUCUUUCUCUUCAAAACAUGAAUCUCAUUCUUCACUGGUGAUUCUUGAUUUUGAUCAACUUUUUGCAUGGCAUUGCUUUGAAUUUGAUUAUGACCUAAUUCAGGCUUGGAUUUCUCUUUCUCUUUCUCAACUGGUUUUCUGAAAGUACCUCCAAUGGAUAACCCUAAAUCCAGCUCUACCUCUUCAACUUCCACCAUCGUUGAUUAAAAGAUUGAACUUGAAGAGUUUGAAGAUAAAAAUGAAAAAUAGAAGAAAGUGUUGGUUGUUAUCAAUUUAGGGUCUGUUUUGUUUUGUUACUAAUUUAUGAUUUGCAGGAAGUAGAUUAUGAUGCUGAUGACAAUGCUAUUUUCUCUAAUUACAUUCGUCCAAGACAUUAGCAACAACAAAGAACUAUGGAAAAUCGCUGUAAAAGUUCACCACAAGUGGAAUGUCAUCACCAGCACCAAACAUCACUUUGAGAUGAUAAUGAUAGACAAAGAGGGGGUUGAUAUCCAUGUCGGUGUUCCUCCAUUGUACAGACUUUUGAUUUGCAGUUGGCUGUUAAUGUUAUAAUUUAAUGUAUUUAAAUUUGAAUAUGGCAACCUAAUGCUACAAGUAUGUGGGUGUUCUAUGUACUUUGGAAGAACUAACAUAGAUUUUCUGUGUUUAUUUAGAAGGAAAGGUUCGAAGGCGUUGUUGAAAAAGCUCAAACGGGUGAUGGUACACGGUGCAACAAUUUACUCUGUUGUUCAAUUAGAGGGUCUAAAGGUAGUUUAUAGUUAUUGUAGGCUCAACCUUUGAAAAUAUUGGUUUAGUUCUCAUAACUUUAUUUAAGGUUGUUCUCUUUAUAGGAUUGUUAGUUUCAGUAUUAAGAAUGGUACUUGUGCCCUCUCACAUUUAAGCAACACAUCCCAUAAAUCACAGUGGUACUGGUCAAGUAAGCUCAAUUUUUAUUUUGUUGCUUAUGUGUAUAUUGGUUUCACUGUUUCUUGUGGGGCUUAAUGCAUGCAGUUGAAUCAACUUAUUUGAUCCAAACAACUUUUGAUCUUAUUUUUUAUCAAUAAAUUAGCAGUGAGCGACUCUAAUUCGCCCAGGAAAGGAAAUGAUGGAUACAGUCCUAGCUCUUCAGCAAAAUUGCAAGUACCCGAGGAAUCUCGUGGUGUUGUGGAAAGGAAUGAAAUAAUUGAGAGGCUAAGUACUAAACUGUAAGGAAGUCUUUUGUGUUAGAGGUGCACGCAUAUGCCUGAAUGGAUCUACACACAGUGAUAUGUUUUACUUGGUUCAAGCUGCCUGAAUGGAUCUACACACAAUGAUCUAUUUUAUUUGGUUAAGAUGAAACUGUUAAUUCCACUAAGCUGCAUAAUUGCUCAUAAUAAUCAAAUGUUAGGAUGAGAUAUUUUGCCAUAUAGUUGCUUGAGUAUGGUAGUCUGCAAUUUUUAGUAUGUAUUUAGGCAUAACUAAAUAGAAUAUUUGUUCAGCUGGAAUCUGUAACUUUUAGUGUGUACUUAGGCAUAACUAAACAAAAUAUUUGUUCAGCUGAAGAAAAUAAGAACAAAAUUGUUAAGGCAGUAGUUAAUUUUUUAAUACUCAGUCCUCUCAUUUUCUUAAUUCAUAAAUUCAGUGUAAUAUUGUUUUGAAAAUUAAAACUAACAUAUUCAGUUUCAGCUAAUUUGGUUACGAUUUUUGAAUAGAAGUUGAGGAAAAUUGAUCCCAUUUUAUUAGAUUUUUGAACUAUUGUUUGUUGUAUAUCUAUGUAGUUAUGGUUAAAAAUAGAGUUGAUACAUAAUUUGAAAUAAUAUAUUUUAAAAUCUCUAUAUAAUUACUACCAUAUUAAUUGGAUUUAAGACAAUUAUAUUUUGUUUGGAACACG